AAUCAGUCCUCGAAAACGAGGUCGGCAUUCGGCAAUGCCGGGCUAAAUGCAAAUUUUGGCCCACCUUAAUUCAACCAAAGUAAGAAUUUUUUAUGCUGAUAGCUUUUAAAAUGUCAGCGAUUAUAGAAUUCGAUUCGUAGUUCGAUUAACUGAACACACUACGGUGUAAGGUUUAAAAACUGACGGGUAUUGUGUAUAUACGUUAGAUGUUUGAAGAUCAAAUUCUGGAGUUAAAAUUUGGCUCCAACUUUCGAACUUUCCGGCUGGAGGUAACGUUCCAGUUAUAUUCCGAUUUCAAUGAUUCGUAAAUGCGUGAUUAAUAGUGCUCCAAGACGUGGAACAGAUUUUAAGAAAUGCCGAGAUGUGCCGACCUAGGUCAGAUUUAGGUCGGCCCUCUUUUGCCGACCUCAAUUUUGACGGUUUUGACUUUUCGAGGGCUGCAAAAUGGAUGCCGACAGGAAUUUUGGGUUUUCUGAUUAUGCGUGUCUCAGAAUGAUGCAAAUGCCAUUUCCGGGAUUCAAAUUUAAAAAUUUUCCGUGCCUUCGGCACGAGCCUCCCCCCCCCCAAUAUUUCAUAAAAUGUCCGCCACUUGCACACACGGUGGCUUAAAAGGUCUUAAAACUGUUUAUUCUACCGAUAAAU